rnacentral:rRNA from 1 species
GAUGAACGCUGGCGGCGUGCCUAAUACAUGCAAGUCGAGCGAACGGACGAGAAGCUUGCUUCUCUGAUGUUAGCGGCGGACGGGUGAGUAACACGUGGAUAACCUACCUAUAAGACUGGGAUAACUUCGGGAAACCGGAGCUAAUACCGGAUAAUAUUUUGAACCGCAUGGUUCAAAAGUGAAAGACGGUCUUGCUGUCACUUAUAGAUGGAUCCGCGCUGCAUUAGCUAGUUGGUAAGGUAACGGCUUACCAAGGCAACGAUGCAUAGCCGACCUGAGAGGGUGAUCGGCCACACUGGAACUGAGACACGGACCAGACUCCUACGGGAGGCAGCAGUAGGGAAUCUUCCGCAAUGGUCGAAAGCCUGACGGAGCAACGCCGCGUGAGUGAUGAAGGUCUUCGGAUCGUAAAACUCUGUUAUUAGGGAAGAACAUAUGUGUAAGUAACUGUGCACAGCUUGACGGUACCUAAUCAGAAAGCCACGGCUAACUACGUG